GGUUAAGCGACUAAGCGUACACGGUGGAUGCCCUGGCAGUCAGAGGCGAUGAAGGACGUGCUAAUCUGCGAUAAGCGUCGGUAAGGUGAUAUGAACCGUUAUAACCGGCGAUUUCCGAAUGGGGAAACCCAGUGUGAUUCGUCACACUAUCAUUAACUGAAUCCAUAGGUUAAUGAGGCGAACCGGGGGAACUGAAACAUCUAAGUACCCCGAGGAAAAGAAAUCAACCGAGAUUCCCCCAGUAGCGGCGAGCGAACGGGGAGCAGCCCAGAGCCUGAAUCAGUGUGUGUGUUAGUGGAAGCGUCUGGAAAGGCGCGCGAUACAGGGUGACAGCCCCGUACACAAAAAUGCACAUAUUGUGAGCUCGAUGAGUAGGGCGGGACACGUGGUAUCCUGUCUGAAUAUGGGGGGACCAUCCUCCAAGGCUAAAUACUCCUGACUGACCGAUAGUGAACCAGUACCGUGAGGGAAAGGCGAAAAGAACCCCGGCGAGGGGAGUGAAAAAGAACCUGAAACCGUGUACGUACAAGCAGUGGGAGCACGCUUAGGCGUGUGACUGCGUACCUUUUGUAUAAUGGGUCAGCGACUUAUAUUCUGUAGCAAGGUUAACCGAAUAGGGGAGCCGAAGGGAAACCGAGUCUUAACUGGGCGUUAAGUUGCAGGGUAUAGACCCGAAACCCGGUGAUCUAGCCAUGGGCAGGUUGAAGGUUGGGUAACACUAACUGGAGGACCGAACCGACUAAUGUUGAAAAAUUAGCGGAUGACUUGUGGCUGGGGGUGAAAGGCCAAUCAAACCGGGAGAUAGCUGGUUCUCCCCGAAAGCUAUUUAGGUAGCGCCUCGUGAAUUCAUCUCCGGGGGUAGAGCACUGUUUCGGCAAGGGGGUCAUCCCGACUUACCAACCCGAUGCAAACUGCGAAUACCGGAGAAUGUUAUCACGGGAGACACACGGCGGGUGCUAACGUCCGUCGUGAAGAGGGAAACAACCCAGACCGCCAGCUAAGGUCCCAAAGUCAUGGUUAAGUGGGAAACGAUGUGGGAAGGCCCAGACAGCCAGGAUGUUGGCUUAGAAGCAGCCAUCAUUUAAAGAAAGCGUAAUAGCUCACUGGUCGAGUCGGCCUGCGCGGAAGAUGUAACGGGGCUAAACCAUGCACCGAAGCUGCGGCAGCGACGCUGAUGCGUUGUUGGGUAGGGGAGCGUUCUGUAAGCCUGUGAAGGUGUGCUGUGAGGCAUGCUGGAGGUAUCAGAAGUGCGAAUGCUGACAUAAGUAACGAUAAAGCGGGUGAAAAGCCCGCUCGCCGGAAGACCAAGGGUUCCUGUCCAACGUUAAUCGGGGCAGGGUGAGUCGACCCCUAAGGCGAGGCCGAAAGGCGUAGUCGAUGGGAAACAGGUUAAUAUUCCUGUACUUGGUGUUACUGCGAAGGGGGGACGGAGAAGGCUAUGUUGGCCGGGCGACGGUUGUCCCGGUUUAAGCGUGUAGGCUGGUUUUCCAGGCAAAUCCGGAAAAUCAAGGCUGAGGCGUGAUGACGAGGCACUACGGUGCUGAAGCAACAAAUGCCCUGCUUCCAGGAAAAGCCUCUAAGCAUCAGGUAACAUCAAAUCGUACCCCAAACCGACACAGGUGGUCAGGUAGAGAAUACCAAGGCGCUUGAGAGAACUCGGGUGAAGGAACUAGGCAAAAUGGUGCCGUAACUUCGGGAGAAGGCACGCUGAUAUGUAGGUGAAGUCCCUCGCGGAUGGAGCUGAAAUCAGUCGAAGAUACCAGCUGGCUGCAACUGUUUAUUAAAAACACAGCACUGUGCAAACACGAAAGUGGACGUAUACGGUGUGACGCCUGCCCGGUGCCGGAAGGUUAAUUGAUGGGGUCAGCGCAAGCGAAGCUCUUGAUCGAAGCCCCGGUAAACGGCGGCCGUAACUAUAACGGUCCUAAGGUAGCGAAAUUCCUUGUCGGGUAAGUUCCGACCUGCACGAAUGGCGUAAUGAUGGCCAGGCUGUCUCCACCCGAGACUCAGUGAAAUUGAACUCGCUGUGAAGAUGCAGUGUACCCGCGGCAAGACGGAAAGACCCCGUGAACCUUUACUAUAGCUUGACACUGAACAUUGAGCCUUGAUGUGUAGGAUAGGUGGGAGGCUUUGAAGUGUGGACGCCAGUCUGCAUGGAGCCGACCUUGAAAUACCACCCUUUAAUGUUUGAUGUUCUAACGUUGACCCGUGAUCCGGGUUGCGGACAGUGUCUGGUGGGUAGUUUGACUGGGGCGGUCUCCUCCUAAAGAGUAACGGAGGAGCACGAAGGUUGGCUAAUCCUGGUCGGACAUCAGGAGGUUAGUGCAAUGGCAUAAGCCAGCUUGACUGCGAGCGUGACGGCGCGAGCAGGUGCGAAAGCAGGUCAUAGUGAUCCGGUGGUUCUGAAUGGAAGGGCCAUCGCUCAACGGAUAAAAGGUACUCCGGGGAUAACAGGCUGAUACCGCCCAAGAGUUCAUAUCGACGGCGGUGUUUGGCACCUCGAUGUCGGCUCAUCACAUCCUGGGGCUGAAGUAGGUCCCAAGGGUAUGGCUGUUCGCCAUUUAAAGUGGUACGCGAGCUGGGUUUAGAACGUCGUGAGACAGUUCGGUCCCUAUCUGCCGUGGGCGCUGGAGAACUGAGGGGGGCUGCUCCUAGUACGAGAGGACCGGAGUGGACGCAUCACUGGUGUUCGGGUUGUCAUGCCAAUGGCACUGCCCGGUAGCUAAAUGCGGAAGAGAUAAGUGCUGAAAGCAUCUAAGCACGAAACUUGCCCCGAGAUGAGUUCUCCCUGACCCUUUAAGGGUCCUGAAGGAACGUUGAAGACGACGACGUUGAUAGGCCGGGUGUGUAAGCGCAGCGAUGCGUUGAGCUAACCGGUACUAAUGAACCGUGAGGCUUAACCUU
rnacentral:rRNA from 1 species